UGACCUCGGAUCAGACGUGAUUACCCGCUGAAUUUAAGCAUAUUAUUAAGCGGAGGAAAAGAAACUAACAAGGAUUCCCCUAGUAACGGCGAGUGAACGGGGAAGAGCCCACACGAAUCCCUUGGCGCAAGUCAACG
rnacentral:ncRNA from 1 species